GUUGUAUGGUUAAGUGACUAAGCGUACACGGUGGAUGCCUGGGCAGUCAGAGGCGAUGAAGGACGUACUAACUUGCGAUAAGCGCAGAUAA
rnacentral:rRNA from 1 species